GCCAACUUGCGAAAGUGAGCGAAUCCCAAAAAGUGCGUCGUAGUCCGGAUUGGAGUCUGCAACUCGACUCCAUGAAGUCGGAAUCGCUAGUAAUCGUGGAUCAGAAUGCCACGGUGAAUACGUUCCCGGGCCUUGUACACACCGCCCGUCACACCAUGGGAGUGGGCUGCAAAAGAAGUAGGUAGUUUAACCUUCGGGGGG
rnacentral:rRNA from 1 species